AGAGACAGAAGAGCACACAAUCUCUCUCUCCCUGCCAUGUGAGGAUACAAGAAGACAGCCAUCUGCAAACCAGGACAAGGGCCCUUAUCAGACACCAGACCUUCCAACACUCUAGUGUUGGACUUAGCCUCCAGAAAAGAGCCCUUGAAAUCCUGCUCAUCUGCAAUCCCUAGGGCUGGACUCUGUAUCAGAGAAGUGGAUACUCCAUCUUCAUCGAGAACCCAAUGACAGAUGUGCACACAGAGAGAAUGCCAUAUGAAAAUGAAGGCAGAGAUUGAGGUGAUACUUCUAUAAGCCAAGGAAUAUCGGAGACUUCCAGGAAUACCAGAGACUUCCAACAAAUCACCAGAAGCCAGGGAAGAACAAAAUAGCUCCCUCCUCACAGCCCUCAGAAGAAACCUACCCUGCUGAUAACCUUGAUCUCAGACUUCCAGCCUUUAGAACUGUAAGACAAUCCAUUUCUGUUCAUUAAGCCACUCAAAGUGUGAUACUUUGUUACAACAGCACUAGCAAACUAACACAG